AGGUUUGGUCCUAGCCUUCCUAUUAAUUUUUUAGUAGACUUACACAUGCAAGCCUCCGCGUUCCAGUGAGAAUGCCCUCAAAAUCAUUAGUGAUCUAAAGGAGCAGGUAUCAAGCACACUUUUAAGUAGCUCAUAACACCUUGCU
rnacentral:rRNA from 1 species